CGCUCCUUGAUUUUAAUUAAUAAGGAGUCGGACCUGCCCAGUGAUAAGUAUUUAACGGCCGCGGUACUCUGACCGUGCAAAGGUAGCAUAAUCAUUUGCCCUAUAAUUGAGGGCUAGUAUGAAUGGUUUAACAAGAACAAUACUGUCUCUUUCAAAAUUUCUAGAAUUUAUUCUUUAGGUGAAGAAACCUAAAUAAAAUUAAAAGACAAGAAGACCCUAUCGAGCUUAAACUCUUUUUAUAAAAUAAAAAAAAUUAAUAAUAUUUUUUGUUAUAAAAAAUUUUGGUUGGGGCGACUAAGGAACAAAAAAAGCUUCUUUAUUUAAUAAAGACAAAUGUGUAUUGAUCCAUAAAAUCUUGAUUAAAAGAAUUAGUUACCGUAGGGAUAACAGCAUAAUCUUUUUUAAGAGUUCUUAUCGAAAAAAAGGUUUGUGACCUCGAUGUUGGACUAAAAUUUCCUAAUAGAUGCAGACGUCUUUAAGGG
rnacentral:rRNA from 1 species